rnacentral:rRNA from 1 species
GAUCCAGCCAUGCCGCGUGCAGGAUGAAGGCCUUCGGGUUGUAAACUGCUUUUGUACGGAACGAAAAAGCUCUCUCUAAUACAGGGGGUGAAUGACGGUACCGUAAGAAUAAGCACCGGCUAACUACGUGCCAGCAGCCGCGGUAAUACGUAGGGUGCAAGCGUUAAUCGGAAUUACUGGGCGUAAAGCGUGCGCAGGCGGUUAUGUAAGACAGAGGUGAAAUCCCCGGGCUCAACCUGGGAACUGCCUUUGUGACUGCAUAGCUGGAGUGCGGCAGAGGGGGAUGGAAUUCCGCGUGUAGCAGUGAAAUGCGUAGAUAUGCGGAGGAACACCGAUGGCGAAGGCAAUCCCCUGGGCCUGCACUGACGCUCAUGCACGAAAGCGUGGGGAGCAAACAGGAUUAGAUACCCUGGUAGUCCACGCCCUAAACGAUGUCAACUGGUUGUUGGGUCUUCACUGACUCAGUAACGAAGCUAACGCGUGAAGUUGACCGCCUGGGGAG